GAAAGGAAACAAGGGAUGAGUGUGCUGAGGUAGAAAACUGAAAGAGCAUUUCCUCCACCCCAGCGAUCAGAAGCAAAGGACCUGUGAUCUUGUUUGCAAGCACAGUGCUUGUCCCUGAUACCCCAUGGGUGAACAUGUAUGGACUCCUCGCACACAAUGUAUGGACUUCAAUGCUCGAGGGACACGUGUCAUCUCCUGUAAUACCCAGACAGCCUCCAACCUCUUUGUCAUUUUAAGGCAGACCAGGUGAGACAAACAGGCCAUCUGCAUGUGAAGGCAGAUCCCUGUGAGGCGGAUGAGCCCCUCCGGGGUCUGUAAUGGGCCCUUCCUCCCCAGGGCACCCUGCCCUCUACAAAGCGGUGGUGGGGCCUGGCCCCUUGCCCUCCUGGGACUAAGCCUUGGGGGAGGGUGAUGGCAGCGGGGACACCGAGAAGGCUGAGCCCCUGGGCGCUGCAUUCAAGGACUCUCCACAUGUUUGUGCCCCGAAAGUAGGCACCUCUCUUGCUGCUAAGACCUGAGUUACCCCCCUAAUACCCUGGGGGCCCUGGAGGGGGGAGGGGAGAGGAGGUGGAGACAUAUGUGUCAAAGGUGGUAGGUGGUCCGGGGGAAGUAGAAAAAACCUGAGCUCAAGGCCAUAGAGCUAGCUGCCAUGGUGCAGAGUCCAGGGGAGGGUCCGGGCCCCUUCCUGCCUUAGAGGUUCUCUGUGCAAUUACACGUGUCAGCAAGAGUAAGAAUGUGUUUUCUUGUGGAAUCUGUAUGACUUUGGGGUUUGUAUAAAUGUGAGGGCACGGAAACCUUACAUGGGGCAGGGCUGCAGAUGUAUUUCUGCGCGUGCAUGUAUGUGAGUCCGUGUGUGCUCCAGGUUUCCUGCUAUGGUCUGAGCACCCCUCUGCCUGGGUCCCUCUGAAGCCUUCGCUUCCUCAUCUGUAAAAUGGGGACACCAGGUCACUGGGUACCAUUGUGAUUCCGAUUACCUUAUUCCCUCUCUACUACUGACCUUUUGUCCAAACACUGGCCAGUCAUUUCUGCUCCAAUCAAUCUGACAACACCCUGGGGAACAUAUGUAUACCUAUGGCUGAUCCAUAUUGAUGCACGGCAGACACCAACACAAUAUUGUAAUUAUCCUUCAAUUUAAAAUGUUUUUUAAAAAAUUGACAAUACCUUGAUUUUUAAGUCUAAAACCUGCUUCUCCUAAUUUGCUCAGCAACUAUUAAUAUUUGCUAAUCACCCUGGAUUCCCCCAGGACAUAU
rnacentral:lncRNA from 1 species